AGGAGAAAAAAGGAAGGAGGAAGUAACUUGUGGAAUGCUGAGAAAGAAGCCAUUUAGAUUUUACAGAAAUGUAGCUCCUCAUACAUUAUAUUGUUCCUAUGAAGAAUUAGAUUGAAUAAAGCUGCUUUGAAUAAAGCUCGUAUUACCAGCUACCACAUGUGAUGGAAAGAAUCCAAGUUAAACACUCUCACCAGAGCAUGCUCCAAGACAGAUGACUGAGCCCCAGGCUUGGCCAAUACAAUGCACUUCUAUUCUCUAUUUAUUUUUGUAGUUCAAAGACCUGGCAGUAACCCACUUGAUGCCUGCCAUAAGGACCAGUACACUCCUGAUUACUGCCCAGCGAUUUUAUAUCUGUAUGCCAGCUACUCAGACCACGUAUAAAGACUAGGGGGAUUUUUUGAAAGGAAAAGAAACCCCGGCUUCCACUUAUACUUUGAAAUUUCAGAUGAUGUACUGCCAACUUACAGACCUUGCUUUAAUCAGCAGCCACAUGAAAAGGCUGUUUCUAUUUACUCUAGGUCAUUUAGGAAACAAGCAAUAAGUAGGCCUUGCAAAAUUUCAGCUUCUCUUAAAGUUGGCAUGUUUUCCUCAAAUAGAGAGUUGAAUCUUGAUUUCAUUUUCUGAGUAGAAAUAUUUACAAUCCUGUCAUACAUGAAUUUUAGCCUUCCUUCUGUCUAACAACAAAUAGGCUUUUUAAAGAAUGCUUAGCGUUAAACUGGAGGCUGUUUUGUAAAGGUGGGUCUGUAUAGAUUUGAAUAAUGACUACGCUGCUUUACUGCUCUAGUUAAAAUUUCAUCAAAUACUGACUUUAGCUGGAAAAAGAUAAUUUAAGCCCAUCCUAUUUUAGUUUUAAAUUGUGUAUAUAUAAAAAGGUAAUCUUGCAGAACAUAAAGUAACAACUAC
rnacentral:lncRNA from 1 species